CUUUUCCAAACAACUUGGUCAAAACUGAAAGCAAUUUGGGAACUGAGGAAGCCAGCUGCUGGCUGGGGAUGCUGACAAUACAGUGGUCACCUUGGACCAGAGAUGGGAGCCUCAUGUGGAGGGUCACUGAACCACCUCAGGUGGUCUGAACCACCUGCCUCUGGAUUUUGCUGUGAGUGAAAAAAAACUUAUGGAAGGUUUCUUAUCUGUCUCCUCCCACCAGGAUCUAAGGCACCACAAAGGUCUGGAACAAUUCCAUAGCCAGGAUGGUACCUGUCCCCGUGUUCUCGAUGCAGCCGUACUGGGGCAGGGCGCUUAGCUUAAUGAUGGCAUCCUCCUGGAAACUGUCCUCAGCAGCAGCAGCGAAGAAAUGGUGA